rnacentral:lncRNA from 1 species
CUAAGACUCAGCAGAUAAGGAUGGAGGCGACUCAACAUCACACUGAGACAGAUAUGAGCCCUGCAUUUCUGAAUGCCUUGAAAGAAAAACCAGCAAGUUGGGAGGGCCGUGUCUCCUUAUCAUCUUCCAGGAAUUCAAAACCGUGAUUUCCAGUUUCCAAAUGCAACUCAAGCUCCAUCACCCUGUACAUCUUGCACGGUUUCUCCAGCAUAUCCUGAUCGCCACCUCCAGACCCUUCUGAUAGAUUCAUUACCUGAAUCUAUUUGAUCCUGAACUCCUGCUCUCCCUUGGCUCAACCUCAUCACAGCCAGAAAGGAUGAGAGCUCUUUAAUGAAGUGCAUACAUGUCAGUUUCCCAGGACACAAACCAAAGUA